rnacentral:rRNA from 1 species
CUGCUAUGUUGUCUGUACUCAUAACCGCAUCAGGUCUCCAAGGUUAGCAGCCUUUGGUCGUAUAGAAAUACGGUGGGUAAGGGAAGUCGGCAAAUUCGGUCCGUACUUACGAUAUAAGGACUGGCUCCGAAGGUGAAAUCUAUACGCUUUGCUU